UACGUAGGGACGAGCGUUGUCCGGAUUUAUUGGGUACGUAAGAGCUCGUAGGCGGCAGGUAAGUCAGAAGUGAAAAUGCAAGGGCUCAACCCUUGCAUUGACUUUUGAUACUGCCGAGCUUGAGUAUGGCAGGGGAAAGGGAAUUCCACGUGUGCGGAUGGAAAUGCGCAGAUAUGUGGAGGAACCACAGUGGCGAAGGCGCUUUUCUGGCCAUACUGACGCUGAGGAGCGGAAAGCGUGGGUAGCGAACAGG
rnacentral:rRNA from 1 species